AGCAGUGGGGAAUUUUGGACAAAUGGGGAAAGCCUGAUCCAGCCAUACCGCGUGAGUGAAGAAGGCCUUCGGGUUGUAAAGCUCUUUCAGCUGGGAAGAAACGGUUGUGGUUAAUAUCCGCAACUAAUGACGGUACCAUCAGAAGAAGCACCGGCUAAUUUCGUGCCAGCAGCCGCGGUAAUACGUAGGGUGCGAGCGUUAUUCGGAAUUACUGGGCGUAAAGCGUGCGCAGGCGGUUUUUUAAGCCAGAUGUGAAAUCCCCGGGCUCAACCUGGGAACUGCAUUUGGAACUGUAAGACUAGAGUAUAGCAGAGGGAGGUAGAAUUCCACGUGUAGCAGUGAAAUGCGUAGAUAUGUGGAGGAAUACCAAUGGCGAAGGCAGCUUCCUGGGUUAAUACUGACGCUCAUGCACGAAAGCGUGGGGAGCCAACAGGAUUAGAUACCCUGGUAUUCCACGCCCUAAACGAUUUCAAUUAGUGUUGGGGAAGGAGAUUCUUCAGUAACGCAGCUAACGCGA
rnacentral:rRNA from 1 species